AUUGAACGCUGGCGGCAGGCCUAACACAUGCAAGUCGAGCGGAUGAAGGGAGCUUGCUCCUGGAUUCAGCGGCGGACGGGUGAGUAAUGCCUAGGAAUCUGCCUGGUAGUGGGGGAUAACGUCCGGAAACGGGCGCUAAUACCGCAUACGUCCUGAGGGAGAAAGUGGGGGAUCUUCGGACCUCACGCUAUCAGAUGAGCCUAGGUCGGAUUAGCUAGUUGGUGGGGUAAAGGCCUACCAAGGCGACGAUCCGUAACUGGUCUGAGAGGAUGAUCAGUCACACUGGAACUGAGACACGGUCCAGACUCCUUCGGGAGGCAGCAGUGGGGAAUAUUGGACAAUGGGCGAAAGCCUGAUCCAGCCAUGCCGCGUGUGUGAAGAAGGUCUUCGGAUUGUAAAGCACUUUAAGUUGGGAGGAAGGGCAGUAAGUUAAUACCUUGCUGUUUUGACGUUACCAACAGAACAAGCACCGGCUAACUUCGUG
rnacentral:rRNA from 1 species